GCGAUUUGUAGCUCAUUCCUAGAGUGCUGGUCUUGUAAACCAGAGGUAAAAUAUGUAAUAUUUCUAUCGCUAAAAUCUCUUGAGUAUGAGAAGUACAGUUGCCUUCCAAGCAGAAAGAUUAAGAAAACUUAAAAGAGAUAGGCUAUUAAAAAUGAGACAUAGCAUAAGAUAAUGCAUUUCCUUUACACUGAGAUUAUGCCUAAUAUGUGGGCUGUC
rnacentral:misc_RNA from 1 species